rnacentral:rRNA from 1 species
UACAGAGGUCUCAAGCGUUGUUCGGAUUCAUUGGGCGUAAAGGGUGUGUAGGUGGCGCGCUAAGUCAGGUGUGAAAUCUCGGGGCUCAACCCCGAAACUGCAUUUGAUACUGUGGUGCUCGAGUACUGGAGAGGAGAUUGGAAUUUACGGUGUAGCAGUGAAAUGCGUAGAUAUCGUAAGGAAGACCAGUGGCGAAGGCGAAUCUCUGGACAGUUACUGACACUGAGGCACGAAGGCCAGGGGAGCAAACGGG